GAUUCGGAGGUUAAGGUUCGAAGAAAGCGGUCACUUUUUCUGAGAGCUAAUAAAUUCCGAAAAAUUCCUUAUUUUUUCAGUGUGUGAGUGUGUUAUCCUAUCCAUCCCAUAGCUAACACAACUGAUUUACCUAUAUCGGAACUUAACACCGCGGAGUUGGAAGAUAAAC